rnacentral:tRNA from 1 species
UGGGAUGUAACUCAGUUGGUAGAGUACUCAGCUAUCAUUCACGAGGCCCUGGGUUUGAUCCCCAACACCACAC